UGGAAUGCCAGGAAGCCUCCUCCCCAUCU
rnacentral:piRNA from 1 species